rnacentral:rRNA from 1 species
AUGUACAUUCCUACAACAUAUUGUUAAUGCAUCAGAUCCAAUUAGAAAUCUGUAGUUAAGUGUGCUCAGGCUAGAGUAGUACUGGGAUGGGUGAUCGCCUGAGAAAUCCUAUUGUUGUACAUG